CAGCAAGCUACAGUGCUGGACUAAAAUUGGAGCAAUACAGAGAAGAUUAGUAUGGCCCCUGUGCAAGGAUGACACGCAAAUUCAUGAAGUGUUCCAUAUUUUU
rnacentral:snRNA from 1 species